rnacentral:tRNA from 1 species
GGGGGCAGCGGGCGCCACCCAGGACUUGUCAAUCCAUGGGUGAGGAGUUCGACUCUCCUUGCCUCCACCA